rnacentral:misc_RNA from 1 species
CGGAUAAUUUAUGUUUUAUUAAUCCCAUCAAUAUGGGUAUCAAAUGAAAGGGCUCAACAAGCAGAAUACAAUAUACUAUAAAAAUUGAAAUCCAAGAUGGCGGCCGCUACAAAAUGGCGGAUAACGUAGGUUUUAUCGAUCCCAUCAAUAUGGGUAUCAAAUGAAAGUGCUCAACAAGUAGAAUACAAUUUACUAUGCAAAAUUUAAAUCUAAGCUGGCCGCCGCUACCAAAUGUCUGAUAACAAUUUUUUAUCAAUCCCACCAAUAUGGGUAUCAAAUAAAAGGGC